UACGGGAGGCAGCAGUGGGGAAUAUUGCACAAUGGGCGCAAGCCUGAUGCAGCCAUGCCGCGUGUAUGAAAAAGGCCUUCGGGUUGUAAAGUACUUUCAGUCGUGAGGAAGGUGUUAAGGUUAAUAACCUUAGCAAUUGACGUUAGCGACAGAAGAAGCACCGGCUAACUCCGUGCCAGCAGCCGCGGUAAUACGGAGGGUGCGAGCGUUAAUCGGAAUUACUGGGCGUAAAGGGCACGCAGGCGGUUAAUUAAGUUGGAUGUGAAAUCCCCGGGCUUAACCUGGGAAUGGCAUUCAAGACUGGUUAGCUAGAGUCUUGUAGAGGGGGUAGAAUUCCGAUGUGUAGCGGUGAAUGCGUAGAGAUGUGGAGGAAUACCGGUGGCGAAGGCGGCCCCGUGGACAAAGACUGACGCUCAUGUGCGAAAGCGUGGGGAGCAAACAGGGAUUAGAUACC
rnacentral:rRNA from 1 species